rnacentral:misc_RNA from 1 species
UCACUAAUCAAGCCCGGCUUGCUGUUGGACCUCUUUGUCGUUAAAAGACAGGCCCUAAAGAUAAUGACGGCGUCAGUUGGACCCUAGAUGCAACGAGCUUUAACUAGCACGCAUUUUAGUUGGCCCUUUUGACCCGGUCUUUUUUAACCAAUUUUCA